GCCGGGGGGAGAGAGAGAGAGAGUGAGUGAGUCCAAGAUUUGUACUAUUUCUGGACAAGAACUCAAGGAAAAGCUAUGGAGUAAAGAAAGAAAAUGAGAAAAGAAAAGGGGAAGUAGAGGAGAAUCAAUUAAAAUGCUGAAAUUAAAGCUUAAGGCCACGAGCUAUCGUUCGCUUGAUCAAUCUGAACUGUCUGCAUUAUCUAAUCUGCUAGUGGAGCCAUCUGUGGUCAGGCACCGGAACAAAGUUAGCGGCUUCAGCCUAAUUUCGUUUUGACAGCCAACCUAUGUGCCUCCCUGUGGAGGUUCCGGACAUGUCUAGUGGUUAUGACUAAGUGCAUAAAUUGAAGUUUUGUUUUCCUGUUCAGUUAGACAAGUUUUUGUAUAUUUUGUAAAUAGGGCUAAGUCCCUUUUUGUCUAGCUUAUAUGUGUGUAUAUAUGAUGUUGUAUAUAUGUAUGUAUAUAAAG